AAUAAGUGCAGCCGUGAAAAUCCGUGUUCAACGUUUGACCGUCCGUCUUAUUUAAAACAUUUAUAAAAAAAAUUUUAAAAGUUAGUCACACAUAAAGUAUUAUUCAUGUUUUAUCAUCUAGUAACAAUAAAAAUAUUAAUCUAAAAAAAAUUUAAAUAAGACGAACGGUCAAACAUUAGACAUGAACAGUUCAAAACUACACUUAUU
rnacentral:pre_miRNA from 1 species